AGAUUGAACGCUGGCGGCAUGCCUUACACAUGCAAGUCGAGCGGCAGCGCGGGGGCAACCCUGGCGGCGAGCGGCGAACGGGUGAGUAAUACAUCGGAACGUGUCCAGUAGUGGGGGAUAACCAGUCGAAAGAUUGGCUAAUACCGCAUACGAUCUACGGAUGAAAGCGGGGGACCGCAAGGCCUCGCGCUAUUGGAGCGGCCGAUGUCGGAUUAGCUAGUUGGCGGGGUAAAAGCCCAACCAAGGCAACGAUCCGUAGCUGGUACUGAGAGGAUGAUCAGCCACACUGGGACUGAGACACGGCCCAGACUCCUACGGGAGCAGCGAGGUGGGAAGUUUGGACAAGUGGGGGCAACCCUGAUCC
rnacentral:rRNA from 1 species